rnacentral:tRNA from 1 species
UUAAUUGAAACCAAAAUAGCGGUAUAUCACUGUUAAUGAUACUAAUGAAUUAUUUUCCAAUUAAA